rnacentral:rRNA from 1 species
GACGAAGGGGGCUAGCGUUGUUCGGAAUUACUGGGCGUAGAGCGCGUGUAGGCGGUUGUUCAAGUCAGGUGUGAAAGCCUUGAGCUCAACUCAAGAAAUGCACUUGAUACUGGAUGACUAGAGGACCGGAGAGGAUAGUGGAAUUCCCAGUGUAGUGGUGAAAUACGUAGAGAUUGGGAAGAACACCAGUGGCGAAGGCGGCUAUCUGGACGGUUUCUGACGCUAAGACGCGAAAGCGUGGGGAGCAAACAGG